UCACCCUCUCUUCUUUCUUUCCUUCCCCUUUUCCUUUCUUUAAGACAGAUCUCAUGUCGCCCAGGCUGGCCUCAAUAUAUAGCCAAAAAUGACCUUGGACACCUGGUUCUCUGCUUCCACUUCUUGAGCUCUGAGAUUUCAGGCACAUAUUUCCAUUCCUAGUUUUGUGUGGUGCUGGGGCUUAAACUCUGGGCUUAAACCGACAAACAUUUGACAAACAUUCUACCUUCUGAACUAUAUCCCUGAUCCUACCAUUUUUCUUUUAUUAGGUAAACAAUAUGUAACAUGAAAUUAACAUUUUAGCCUUUUAUUUUGUUUUGUUUUGAGACAGGGUCUCACUCUGCAGUCUAGGCUGGCCUGGAGCUCACUGUAGCCCAGGCUGGCUUUGGAUUUGUGCCUGCCCUCCCACCUCAGCUUCCCCACAUGAAUCACCAAAUCCAGCACCAUUCAAAACAGUAGCACUAAAUACAACCCUGAUGCCACCUAACCAUCACCCCUCUCUUCAUUCCCAUCACCCCUGGACAGGAACGCUGUCCCCAUUCUUUUCAACCACGCCAUUUUGGAUAAGUUGCCAGUUUCUUCAUCUGUAAGUUGGGCUAAUCAUAUUAUCGACUGAAUAGGAUGAUGGUCAAGGUUAAAUGACGUCAUGCACGAAAGCUGCUUAGCACUGUGCCUGGAACUGUGACUUACUGAGUACACGCUGAGUGCUACUGCAGAAAAGAGCAAGAGAGAAGGACACAGACCUCUUAGCAUAGGGACAGUCUUGUAGCUGUGCAUGAUAGGAAGCAAUGACUGAAGAUGCUCUGAUUAGAGGGGGCUUGACAGGAACUAUUGCUGCUGGCAAAUAACAUCUCCUCCAGGUUUGUAGAAGCUCCCUGCCAGCCUCAGCAACACAUCUGGCGUGCCACAGAAACUCAAGACAUGCUUGAAUAAGGAAGGAGUGAAUGUACACUCGAACAUUUCAGUGUUCGGAGGGAGGACAGAAAUCAUAGAGUCUUAGCCAUCAGUUUAUCAACUUGAAAAGAUAGAGGCACCGGGAAGUCAAGUAGCAUGUCUAGGUUCCUCAGACAUAGACCUGGCUGAUAGACACAGUCAAGUUUCUGAAAUGUAUCUCAUCCUGUCAACUUAGAGCAACUCAGAAAAAUAUAAGGCUGACCCCAUGGUGCGUGCGAUGCCUAACUGAGAGUCCACACUUCCAUUGUUCUGCUCUGUUUGCAGUUUGAACCAGACUGCUGUAAAUAAUUGCUUUUUUUUAUUGAGGAGAGAAUAUUCCCUUCCAUUUUAGAGUCAAAGGUCAUACUGGCUGAGGGAAUCAUAGACAUCAACUUUUUAAGAGCUACAAUUAUUAAGGAAAAUAGAACUUAAAAAAAGGUUUAAGCAGCUCAUGUUUUUUAACCUUACCCAGCCCCAGUCUUCCUGAGUUGUUGUCGGGCAUGGAUAAUGGGAGUAGUAAGGCCUCAGGAUGCUGUGCUGGGGUAAGUGUUGCGAUAUCGAAUGUGGGCGUUGGGGUUGGUGAGUGCAUCUCAGUCAGCAUGUGAGAUCUCUGGCAUGGCCAUAAAGUAAAAUAAACCACAAACCCAUGGGUCACUUGCAUCACACCUGGUACAUGGAUGACAUUCAGCAAACACGCAGUCCGUGGACCGGGUGAGGCAAUGUUUUCAAGGCAAGCAUUUCCAGGUGAUGGGAGUACUUGAUAUUGUGGCCCAGAGAAAAACCUCAAGGGAGAGGACGGCCGUGAGGGCGAGGCGAUUUAUGGCCAACACAGACUGUUGUUUGCUGUUGUGCCCGAGUUGCAGUUAGUCCAAAAUAGCUCCCUAUGUUCACUGUAAACAGGGAGCUGUGUCCCAGUGACUUUCACACUGUAGCUGCAGCCUUUGGCUUCAUGCCCAGGGGUAUUGAAUCACUUGGCCGGAGGGCACCUAUCAUAUCCCCCAUCCCUGUAGAAUAAAGGAAUCUUGUGCUGGGGAUCUGGACCCUAGGUUCAAGACCUGUUUCUUAGUAACUCUGUAAUUUUAGGGUCGCAUCUCUCUGAACCUCAGAAAACGCGGCUGCUCUGACUCUUGCUCAGAAACACUGCGUUCUAUUUAUUUGCUGCAUUCACAGAUAAAUAUGUAUUUCUGCGCCAUGAAAAUCCCAACAGACUUCUUUCCAAGAUCCACUCCUAGGUCCUUGAGGCAGUUUCCAGGCUCCUAGGAAACCUAGCUGGACUCUUGGCAUGCAGAUGGUGAACAUCUCAGAAAGUUGCAGAAGCCCAUGGAGCUGUGUGAAGACUCUGCAUCCAUCCACCCUCCAGUUACCUUCAUGUUCCUUCCACGCAUCAUCACCACGUCUUUCAGAUGAGGGGGUAUCUUCUUCUGAGCUCUUCAGGGAAGAUGGCGUUGUUUAGUUCUCAAGCAAGUGGGAGUCAUGCACAGCUUGUCAGCAGACAGUGUCCACACAGUGCUGGAGACCUGGGAGUCCUGAAUCAUAGCCCUAGCAGUGUGUGUCAGAGGAAGGCCUCGUCCUGUUUCUGAAGGCCCUUUUCUUACAUGUUGGCGGAGAUGAACGAGCUUCUUGGGACCUCUUUUACAAGGACACCACCCUCAUUCAAGGGGGGAGAAUCAAUCCUCACGACCUGAUCCCCUCUCCAAGAUGGCCACACCAUCAUUUUUGGGGCUUGCUUUUACACACAGCAUGGUGUUUCUGGAGACUGGCUGGUCUUUGGUGUGCCCCUGCACCCAGCUGGGUGGCCUGGAAUUUCAUCCUUAGCACUGCUGAAAGAGAAAGACUUACUUUAGGUUCUGCUCCUCAGGAACCCUGGAGAAAACAUUUCCCUGAGGGGUUUGAGGUACAAAUUUGAAUGAUAUUUUGUAUCUGAGUGUUGGAUUAAAUAAUAAUUUUGGCAAAAUAA
rnacentral:sRNA from 1 species